GUGGGGGCUGUCCAGUGGGUUGAGGAGCCCUGGAACAGCACACAGGAAAGCAACAGCUAAGGACAGAACAUGGACUGUGGGAACAUAAAUUUGGAUUCUACAUCAUUGCAAUGCUUGCCAGUGAAUACAGGCACAGGUCCAGAUGAGAAGUUGAAGGAACAGGUGCCAUUCCUUUAAAGCAUCUCCAUCAUCCCUGUAUCCCAGCUUCCAGCCCAGCUAAAAAAAGGCUGAAGGAGCACAGAGAAGAAACUUCCUGCAGACCAAAAAGCUCAUCCUUACUUGGCAUCUUCUCCACUCUCGUCGAACA